rnacentral:rRNA from 1 species
UACGUAGGGGGCAAGCGUUGUCCGGAAUCAUUGGGCGUAAAGCGCGUGUAGGCGGCUUGAUAAGUCCGCUCUGAAAGCCCGGGGCUCAACCCCGGGAGGCGGGUGGAUACUGUCAAGCUCGAGUCCGGAAGAGGCGAGUGGAAUUCCUGGUGUAGCGGUGAAAUGCGCAGAUAUCAGGAGGAACACCGGUGGCGAAGGCGGCGUUCUGGACUGCAACUGACACUGAGAAACGAAAGCCAGGGUAGCAAACGGG